rnacentral:rRNA from 1 species
CGGUAGAGUAGACGGAGAGGAUAGCGGCGGACGGGUGAGUAACGCGUAGGUAAGCUGCCCUAUGCACAGGGAUAGCCUAGGGAAACCUGGAUUAAUACCUGAUGACGCUGCGAGGUCACAUGGCCAUGCAGCCAAAGUUUUUUCGGCAUAGGAUGCACCUGCGUCUGAUUAGCUGGUUGGUGAGGUAACGGCCCACCAAGGCGACGAUCAGUAGCCGACCUGAGAGGGUGAUCGGCCACAUUGGAACUGAGACACGGUCCAAACUCCUACGGGAGGCAGCAGUGAGGAAUAUUGCACAAUGGGGGGAACCCUGGAAUGCAGCAACGCCGCGUGAGCGAAGAAGGUCUUCGGAUCGUAAAGCUCUGUCCUAAGGGACGAUAAUGACGGUACCUUAGGAGGAAGCCCCGGCUAACUACGUGCCAGCAGCAGC